rfam:Triticum aestivum genome assembly, contig: Triticum_aestivum_CS42_TGACv1_scaffold_320495_4BL
CACGUACUCCCUCCGUCCGGAAAUAUUUGUCAUCAAAAUGAAUAAAAGGGGAUGUAUCUAGAUGUAUUUUAGUUCUAGAUACAUCCCUUUUUGUCCAUUGAUGACAAAUAUUUUCGGACGGAGGGAGUAUGUA